UUAAGGCUUCGUGUCUCAUCGCGUUAAACGAUCGCAUAACGAUUUAUUUCUCUUUUUCACCUCGAUCUUUGGCCUCGUGUGAUUUACCAAAACCAACAUGUGAAGUUACAACGCUGACGAAGGAGUUUCAUCAGUAGAGUGUGUCCUGGAAAACGUGUGCUCGGAAACAUGCAGAAUACAGGAUUUACAGAGCCGACCUUGAGGCACCCACUGAUGGAUAAUCUGUUUACCUAAAAACAGCCCACCACAAUCCAUGUUUACCAGCUGUGAAAGUGCAGGCCAAAAAUCUUCCUUCACCUGUGGGCCUCUACCCACAUGUAGAUAAGCACUUCAGGAGAAACCUGCCUGUGAUCUGCUAAGAUGCACAGAUUCAACUCUGGCCCAUUGUCAUCUGCCAUCAGUUUCGUUUAGUGUCGGUCUAUUGCAAAAGUUCUUAUAAACUUUAAAUGAGACUUUGUGUUAAGCAGGGGUUUCCAAACUUUUCAUUCCACAACAUAUUAAGCCCAGGAUACACAGCAGGAUUUUUGCAAUCCAAUAAGACCUUAUCACACUGUGUGACAAGGAUUGUUUAAACUUCAGCAGUAGACUGUCGAUGAAGACACCUAUUGCAUCUGAAGCUGCGACAUCUGUCAUCAACAUGCGCUAGUGGUAAACAAAUACAGGUAUGCAGGUCGUAGAAGCAAACACAUUGUUGAUGUGCGUUGAUCAUGCUGAACUUCUUACACUGUCAUAAAACUAUCGUAGGUGACUUUGGUCCAAGCACUGGGAAAACAGACGUCUUUAAACCUCUCACACUGUAUGAGAUAGGACCACCAAUUAAGAGCCACGAUCACAGAAAUCUACACGAUUGUUUCACGAUUGGUAAUCUUUCAUCUGGGACAGCCAAAAAUCGUGCCGUGUAUUAUGGGCUUUAGACAGGUGUAAUCUUAUAGUAUAUCAAAACCAU